ensembl:misc_RNA
AGUGUGUACAUCCUCUUGCUGACUUGCUGCUGGGGGCACUUGGCUGAGGGUGGCAGGAGGCGCUCAGCUAACCCAAAGUGACAAGUGUCUGGCAGGACAUUAGUCUAAAUGAC